UGUUUGUUUGUUUGUUCCUGCCACACUGUAGAUUCCGAGUCUAAGGAACUGUUUUUAAUAGAUACUGUAGAAGUUUUUAAAAAUGGAUAUCUGAUGAGGAAAGAGGCUGAUACAAAACAGUAUUUUGCAGCUUCGCAAAACAAAACUCCCGAGGAACUCGCACUAUUUCAGUAAAGUCCCGAAGAAUCGCUUUCGGAAUUCAGUUCCUCGUCUUGAACGACCCUUUCCUACACCGCAAAGAAAUACUGGUCCCUGUUUGAUUCCUCCCCCCCAAACUAGUGAAUGUGUUUAAAAGUUGUCACCUACCUACCUGUGCGCGCGCGCGCACACACACACACACACACACACACACACACACACACACACGGUCUUUCCCCGCGUGUUGCCAGUCUUUCUUCGCCUGUGCUUCUCGAUUUUGCUGGAAACGGAAAGGGUAGGUCAAGUGCACCGAAAUACACCGCCAAUGUCUUUGACACUUGGUCGUACUCUAGUGCUUCACGUCAAAUGCAAGCGUGGGACUCGUACUAUUUGAGAGUGUCUGGUUAUUUUUUCAACUGUUUUGGUGCAUACAGGCGUUUUCUCGGCUUCCCGGUGAAUCACGGAUCUCUGACCACUCUAACUCGAGGGCGCACAGAACCUUCCUGUGUCACACCUUCUCCAACUCUCCUCCUUGGGGAUGCUCUGAACCGGUAGAGGGACCAGGGGACGUCAGGGAAGGAGCGCUCCUAGGGCAAGGCAGAGGCGGCCCGGGUCUUCGCACAAGCAUUGCCUCAGUCGGGUUGUGUUUGAAGAAUUACUGGGGCUAUUGUGACAACCGAGGAAAAAGAAAUCGAAUGAUGUGUCUACAUUGGAUGAGAACUAAACACUAAAACAAUAGUGGAGAUGCCACAGAAGAUCAGUGCAAAAGCGCCCCCUCCUAACUGAGCAGACAGCUCUCCUGCCGGGUGAUGUUUCCAGUAGAAAGUGGAGUUGGAGAUCCUGCCUCCACUGGAGCAAUGGGAGAUGUUACCCUGAGGCUACGGGAAGGAGGAGGUUCGAAUGUCAUUGUGCAGAGAGGGCAGGAGUGAAUUAGAGCCCCGGGGACGGCGGACGCGGGGCAAGGAGACCGCCUGAAAUACAAGCCGAACCUGUUCUAAAAAGCCAAGUCAGUGGAAGGAAAGUCCUGUGUGCUCAAGAUGAAGAAUUUGAAGGCAGGUGGGCCAGCAGACAGAGGGGUGGGUGCUGGGCAGCCCAGCCAGGCACCCUGGAGCCCAGCUCUCCUGCCUGUGCCUCUGCCACCUGCUACUCCAGCCCCGAGGUCCGCUUCAGCCCCACUUGCCCCCACCAACCUCCCUCUCUGCAUCCCGCCGCGCAAAGAAAGUUCUUGGGACUUGAUGCAUAAAAAGGCUCCAGUGGACCCCUGAGGAUAGGUGUCUGUUGAAGACCUGCGUGCGAGAAACUGUUGUCUUUCCAACUCCAUCUUUAGGCACAAUGGUCAGCUGAGUGACAUCAUUAAUAGAAGUAUCUAUUUUAGAAGCUCUGCUUCUGGAAGUGGAAUUAAAAAGGAGGUGUAACCCAGAGUUUAAGAUACCCACUGAUAAUGAGGGUAUUUGAGUGAUGGUAAUUGGUGAGGAGAAAAACUUAAAGAUCUAUCUAGAAACCAACCCUCACACUCCAGGCAUGUUGCCAGAUAAAGACUAAACAGAGCGGGUAAAAUGGCAAGAAAAAUAUGGCCCUUGGUUUUCUCAUUGCCAUAAGAGCCAUUGGGAAGAGCUUAAAGAGAUACACCAAUCCCGAGUGGUAACGUUAGAUUUCGCGUUCUGUGACUGAAGACUUUUGCCACUAUAGCCUGGAGACCAGGGCCCUCGUCUUCAACAAGGUGCCACCAGCCGUCUGGUCUACCGUCACGGCCAGCGCAGUAAGUGAGGCUGCGGGACAGUCAUCCCCUUACGUCCGACACCGCUCUUGGACCCAGAUCGGUAAUUCAACGACGCUGUUUCUUUCUUUUAGACUAAGACAUGGAACCUCUUUAGCCUUGAGGAUGACAAUUUCGUCAGCCAUAUGUGCUUGAUUUUUGUACGCCCACACAGGACUUGGAAGUACGCAACCAAACUACAAAAUACAGCGGCAGCUUCUUCCUCCGGGAAAUGUCCAUCCAUUUAAUGACUAAAACUUGCUUCAUGUUGGUGUCUUUGUGAGUAGACUCUUCCAGAUGACACGGGCCAGUCUGUGGAUUAUUCCAUUAUUUCAAUGACACUGAACAUGUCCCUUUCAACUGUCAAGCUGUGUCACCCCAAACCUAAGACAAUGAGUAAAUUACACUGGUUCAGUCAGUGAAUAAAUCGGCCAAAAUGGUUGCAUGACUGAACCAAGUCAUCUGACACAUUUGGCAUAACUGAGACAUUGAAGGAAAUUCGAAGAAAGAAAAUGGUAUUGACCUGGGAGACAUGAGUGUGUCUCUGAGUGUGUUUCCUUUUCUAUAAAAUGGGUACAUUAGUACUUUGUCCAGAUGGGUUGUAGGAAAGGUUAGAAAUAAUGCAUAUAAAGUAUCUAACAUGUAGCAGACACUUGGUAAAUGGUCGCUGUAAUUUAUUAUUAUUAUUAUUAUAUUAAAAGUUCAAGUUACUUCGAAGAAAUUAAGCAAUUACUGGCCUGUGCAGAUUUUUUUGAAAAAAGCUCUAUUGCUGCUUUAUUUAACCAACUUUACUAUAAUGGCAAGGGGUAGUUUAAAGCUGGAUUAAUCCAAGUUGUUAAGUAACUUGACUUGAA